UAGUCCACGCCGUAAACGAUGUCUACUAGCCGUUGGGGAACUUGAGUCUCCAGUGGCGCAGCUAACGCACUAAGUAGACCGCCUGGGGAGUACGGCCGCAAGGUUAAAACUCAAAUGAAUUGACGGGGGCCCGCACAAGCGGUGGAGCAUGUGGUUUAAUUCGAUGCAACGCGAAGAACCUUACCAGGUCUUGACAUCCCUGAAACUUUCUAGAGAUAGAUUGGUGCCUUCGGGAAUCAGGUGACAGGUGCUGCAUGGCUGUCGUCAGCUCGUGUCGUGAGAUGUUGGGUUAAGUCCCGUAACGAGCGCAACCCUUGUCCUUAGUUGCCAGCACAUAAUGGUGGGAACUCUAAGGAGGCUGCCGGUGACAAACCGGGAGGAAGGUGGGGACGACGUCAAGUCAUCAUGGGCCCUUACGACCUGGGGCUACACACGUGCUACAAUGGAACGCACAGAGGGCUGCAACCUCGCGAGAGUGAGCCAAUCCCACAAAACGUUUCG
rnacentral:rRNA from 1 species